GCUGAAUUUAUCUAGGUCCACAAAGUGUCAAGCAGAAGCCAAGUCACCCUGUGAACCUUCCCGGGUGGUAAAGCUGGGAACCUAGCAGAUGCUCCAUCCAAGAAGUUGAAAGUUUCAGAACAAGAGAGACAACUGACACAGUCCCAGUCUCAAGCUGAGGGUCUGCAUACUUCCUGGAGAGUCCCUGAUAUGAGUCCACGUUCAAAGGCUGAACAACCUGGAGUCUGAUGUCAACAGGAGAAGGCAGCAGCAAAAAUGUGCACCCACUCAAGAAUGGAACUUGCAUACCAUGUCCAUGGACACUUCCUCCUUCUUCAGCUAUUUGUUCCGUCUGGACCCCCUACCUAUGGGACAGUGCUGCCACCCUAGGGGAAAGUCAACCUCCCUCCAUUUGCUGACCUGUAUGGCAACUAUCUCUGGGAACGGCCUCACAAACACUUAAAAAUGACCUGUACCAACUUCCUGGGUGUCUUUCAAUCCAGUCAUUUGACAGUCAACAUUAACCAUCAUCAAUAGGAAAAAGGUUGGUAAAACCA